AUUGAACGCUGGCGGCAGGACUAACACAUGCAAGUCGAGCGAGCGGCGGACGGGUGAGUAAUGUAUGGGGCCUGCCCGAUAGAGGGGGAUAACUACUGGUAACGGUGGCUAAUAUCGCAUACUCUGGGAUACGCCAUAUGGGAUUAGCUAGUAGGUGGUGUAAAUGCUCACCUAGGCGACGAUCUCUAGCUGGUCUGAGAGGAUGAUAAGCCACACGGGGGCUGGGACACGGCCCAGGCGCCUACGGAGGCAGCAGUGGGGAAUAGUGCGCAAUAGGCGCAAGCCUGAUGCAGCCAUGCCGCGUGUAUGAAGAAGGCCUUAGGGUUGUAAAGUACUUUCAGCGGGGAGGCGGUACCCGCAGAAGAAGCACCGGCUAACUCCGUGCCAGCAGCCGCGGUAAUUC
rnacentral:rRNA from 1 species